rnacentral:rRNA from 1 species
GAUGAACGCUAGCGGGAGGCCUAACACAUGCAAGCCGAGCGGUAGAGAUUCUUCGGAAUCUUGAGAGCGGCGUACGGGUGCGGAACACGUGUGCAACCUGCCUUUAUCAGGGGGAUAGCCUUUCGAAAGGAAGAUUAAUACCCCAUAAUAUAUUGAGUGGCAUCACUUGAUAUUGAAAACUCCGGUGGAUAAAGAUGGGCACGCGCAAGAUUAGAUAGUUGGUAGGGUAACGGCCUACCAAGUCAGUGAUCUUUAGGGGGCCUGAGAGGGUGAUCCCCCAAACUGGGACUGAGACACGGCCCAGACUUCUACGGAAGGCAGCAGUGGGGAAUAUUGGACAAUGGGCGAAAGCCUGAUCCAGCAAUGCCGCGUGAGUGAUGAAGGCCCUCGGGUUGUAAAGCUCUGUCGGGAGGGACGAAAAAGCGCGGGUAACGCCGUGACUUGACGGUACCUCCAAAGGAAGCACCGGCUAACUCUGUGCCAGCCGCCGCGGUAAGAC